rnacentral:rRNA from 1 species
AUUGAACGCUGGCGGCAUGCCUUACACAUGCAAGUCGAACGGCAGCACGGGAGCAAUCCUGGUGGCGAGUGGCGAACGGGUGAGUAAAGUAUCGGAACGUGCCCGGUCGUGGGGGAUAACGUAGCGAAAGUUACGCUAAUACCGCAUACGAUCUAUGGAUGAACGCGGGGGAUCGCAAGACCUCGCGCGAUUGGAGCGGCCGAUAUCAGAUUAGGUAGUUGGUGGGGUAAAGGCUCACCAAGCCGACGAUCUGUAGCUGGUCUGAGAGGACGACCAGCCACACUGGGACUGAGACACGGCCCAGACUCCUACGGGAGGCAGCAGUGGGGAAUUUUGGACAAUGGGCGAAAGCCUGAUCCAGCCAUGCCGCGUGCAGGAUGAAGGCCUUCGGGUUGUAAACUGCUUUUGUACGGAACGAAAAGGUUUGGCCUAAUAAGCUGAGCUCAUGACGGUACCGUAAGAAUAAGCACCGGCUAACUACGUGCCAGCAGCCGCCGUAA